GAUGAACGCUGGCGGCGUGCCUAAUACAUGCAAGUCGAGCGAACGGACGAGAAGCUUGCUUCUCUGAUGUUAGCGGCGGACGGGUGAGUAACACGUGGAUAACCUACCUAUAAGACUGGGAUAACUUCGGGAAACCGGAGCUAAUACCGGAUGAUAUUUUGAACCGCAUGGUUCAAAAGUGAAAGACGGUCUUGCUGUCACUUAUAGAUGGAUCCGCGCUGCAUUAGCUAGUUGGUAAGGUAACGGCUUACCAAGGCAACGAUGCAUAGCCGACCUGAGAGGGUGAUCGGCCACACUGGAACUGAGACACGGUCAAGACUCCUACGGGAGGCAGCAGUAGGGAAUCUUCCGCAAUGGGCGAAAGCCUGACGGAGCAACGCCGCGUGAGUGAUGAAGGUCUUCGGAUCGUAAAACUCUGUUAUUAGGGAAGAACAUAUGUGUAAGUAACUGUGCACAUCUUGACGGUACCUAAUCAGAAAGCCACGGCUAACUACGUG
rnacentral:rRNA from 1 species